rnacentral:rRNA from 1 species
GCUUGUCUCAAAGAUUAAGCCAUGCAUGUCUAAGAAUAAGCCCAUAGAACGGCGAAUCUGCGAAUGGCUCAUUACAUCAGUUAUUGUUUAUUUGAUGGUACACUAUGCCUUUUAGGCAGGGCUACUUGGAUAACCGUAGUAAUUCUAGAGCUAAUACGUGCGUAAAUCCCGACUCCUGGAAGGGACGUAUUUAUUAGAUUUAAGGCCAACCGAGCUUGCUCGUCUCUUGGUGAAUCAUGAUAACUUCACGAAUCGCAUGGCCUCGCGCCGGCGAUAUUUCAUUCAAAUUUCUGCCCUAUCAAUUGGCGAUGGUAGGAUAGAGGCCUACCAUGGUGUUAACGGGUGACGGGGGAUUAGGGUUCGAUUCCGGAGAGGCAGCCUGAGAAACGGCUACCACAUCCAAGGAAGGCAGCAGG